rnacentral:rRNA from 1 species
GACGAACGCUGGCGGCGUGCCUAAUACAUGCAAGUCGAACGCACGGGGGACGGGUGAGUAACACGUGGGUAACCUCCCAUCAGAGGGGAUAACACUUGGAAAAAAGUGCUAAUCCGAUACUGAUGGAUGGACUCGCGGUGCAUUAGCUAGUCGGUGGGGUAACGGCUCACCAAGGCCACGAUGCAUAGCGGGCCUGAGAGGAUGAUCAGCCACACUGGGACUGAGACACGGCCCAGACUCCUACGGGAGGCAGCAGUGGGGAAUAUUCGGCAAUGGACGAAAGUCUGACCGAGCAACGCCGCGUGAAUGAAGAAGGUUUUAGGAUCGUAAAGUUCUUUUAUCAGGGAAGCGGUACCUAACCAGGAAGCCCCGGCUAACUACGUGCCAGCAGCCGCGGUAAUUC